rnacentral:rRNA from 1 species
GACAAGCCCUGGAAACGGGGUCUAAUACCGGAUAUGACCAUCCACCGCAUGGUGGAUGGUGUAAAGCUCCGGCGGUGCAGGAUGAGCCCGCGGCCUAUCAGCUAGUUGGUGAGGUAGUGGCUCACCAAGGCGACGACGGGUAGCCGGCCUGAGAGGGCGACCGGCCACACUGGGACUGAGACACGGCCCAGACUCCUACGGGAGGCAGCAGUGGGGAAUAUUGCACAAUGGGCGAAAGCCUGAUGCAGCGACGCCGCGUGAGGGAUGACGGCCUUCGGGUUGUAAACCUCUUUCAGCAGGGAAGAAGCGAAAGUGACGGUACCUGCAGAAGAAGCGCCGGCUAACUACGUGCCAGCAGCCGCGGUAAUACGUAGGGCGCAAGCGUUGUCCGGAAUUAUUGGGCGUAAAGAGCUCGUAGGCGGCUUGUCACGUCGGUUGUGAAAGCCCGGGGCUUAACACCGGGUCUGCAUUCGAUACGGGUUAGCUAGAGUGUGGUAGGGGAGAUCGGAAUUCCUGGUG